UACGGGGGGGGCAAGCGUUGUUCGGAAUUACUGGGCGUAAAGGGCUCGUAGGCGGCCAACUAAGUCAGACGUGAAAUCCCUCGGCUUAACCGGGGAACUGCGUCUGAUACUGGAUGGCUUGAGUUCGGGAGAGGGAUGUGGAAUUCCAGGUGUAGCGGUGAAAUGCGUAGAUAUCUGGAGGAACACCGGUGGCGAAGGCGGCAUCCUGGACCGAUAUUGACGCUGAUGCGCGAAAGCCAGGGGAGCAAAGCGGG
rnacentral:rRNA from 1 species